rnacentral:tRNA from 1 species
GGGAAAUUAGCUCAAGUGGUAGAGUGCUUGCUUAACAUGUAAGAGGCAGUGGGAUCGAUGCCCAUGUUCUCCA